UGACCAGGCAUCUCUGGGGGCUAUGGUCAAGUGUCACCUUGAAAGUUGUGAUUUCAGGCCGGGCGCGGUGGCUCACACCAGUAAUCCCAGUACUUUGGGAGGCCGAGGUGGGUGGAUCACUUGAGGUCAGGAGUUUGAGACCAGCCUGGCCAAUAUGGUGAAAUCCCAUCUCUAUAAAAAAUAUAAAAAUUAGUCGGGCAAGGUGGUGGGCACCUGUAAUCCCAGCUACUGUAUAGGCUAAGGCAGGAGAAUCGCUUGAGCCCAGGAGGCAGAGUUUGCAGUGAGCCGAGAUCGCGCCACUGCACUCCAGCCUGGGUGACAGAGUGAGACUCUCUGGGUGACAGAGUGAGACUCUGUCUAAAAAAAAAUGUUGUGAUUUCAGAUCAUGAUAGCAGAGAUACGGGGACUGUCGCCUUGUGGUCCCCAGCGUAAGCCCACCAGCAUGCCACGUGAGCCAGCCCCGCUGACCCAGACUCAGUCCCCCAAGUGCUGGGCUGUGAAAACAGACCAUUC
rnacentral:lncRNA from 1 species